CAUGUCGACGUCGUCACCGGCGACGCCGCCGUCCCAGCCGCCGCCGCAGCCGCCGCAGGAGCUCGACCUAGACGCCUUCCUCCCCUCGUCCCCCGCCUCCUCCGCAGCCUCGGAAUCUGAUGGAGACGGAGACGAUCACCGGCGCGCCGUCGACGACCUCCUCCUCCUCCUCUCGUCGUCCGACUCCGACACCGACGAGCCACCCGCUAGACCAAUCACCAGCAGCACCCAGCUCAAAACCCUAGCCAGCAUCCGAGCCCCGGCUCCGCCCCCUAAACCUUCGCUCUCGCCUUCCCCAUCCGCCUCACCUAGGAGAUCCACAUCCGCCUCGCCGUCGGCGACACUGACCUCCCUCGUGUCGAGAACCUUCUCGAACAACGCCGCUUCGUCUUCCUCGUCGAAGCCACUCCCUUCGCUCUUCCGGGGCGUCCGUCCCAGCCCCAAGCCUGGCGCCGCUCUCGCCGCAGCUGCCGCCGCGUCCCGCGCCGUCCUCACCCCCCAUGCGGCUGCCAUUAAGUCCCGGCGUUCCGCCUCUGCGCCCAUCGAGAGGCUUCUAGACGAAGGCUCCGGCUCCGGCUCCGAAGCCUCCGAGGAGCUCCCUUCCUCUGGAAAUUCGGAGGCGGGAGUAGCGGAGAAGGCUAAUGCGGAUGUGACCGAGGAAGCUGCCAGUGGGAUUGGUGAUGAAGAAUUGGAAGCGGAGAAGCAUGGAGAAGAAGUGCGGUUCGAGGAGAAAUCUGAGCCCAUUGAGUCGGUGGAAGAAGUUGCUGCGGCUUCUGCUGUUGGUGAGAAUAUCAGCGAGCAUGAGCAACUUGGAGCAAGUUCGGCACAAACUGAUCAACCUGUGGAUCAAAUUGGUCUCGCUGAUGAGGAAUGUGUCAAUGACCAAAUUGCUGAUGAAAAUUUCACAGAAUUUGGUGGUGCUGGGGAUCAAGCUGGGGCUAUCUGCAAGAAAAAUGUUGAUGAUGAUCUGGAAUUUGAAAGAUCCGAAACGUCCGUGGAAGAGCAAUUGGAAUCUGAGAGCAUUAUUGAUAAGGUAAUUGAAGAGAGGUUGGAGAUUAGCAGGAAAGCUGAGCAGACAGCGGAGAAAAAGCCUAAGGUGUCGAUGAAACCAUUGGAGCAGGCGGAGGAGCUUGAGAAGAGGCAGGCUUCUUUUGGGCAGCACUGGGAGGAAGGAGCAGCAGCACAACCCAUGCAUCUGGAGGGGAUUGGAAGGGGCCAACCAGCUAUUGGUUACAUGCAGAUUGAGGUUGACAACCCUAUAACUCGUGCCAUGUCCUCCUCGUCAUUUGGGCAGGACCAUGGUUCUCCCCAGGUGCUGACAGUUCAUAAGAGCUAUAUAGCGCUGGGCAUGUCUAAAGGAUCUGUCAUUGUUAUACCAAGCAAAUAUUCCAUCCACCAAGCUGAUGAUACAGAUGCAAAGAUGCUGUUCUUUUGGAACCAAGGUGAGAAAACUCAAUCACCGGUGACUGCCAUGUGCUUCAACCAGCAAGGCGAUCUUCUUCUAGUAGGAUAUGGUGAUGGUCAUAUGACAAUCUGGGAUGUACAGAAAGGUACAGCUGCAAAAGUCAUAUAUGGUGAGCACACGGCACCUGUAGUGCAUGCUUGCUUUAUCCGCCAAUCUAAAGCCAUUACUGGUGAUUCAAAAGGGCUAGUGCUGUUGCACACAUUUUCCAUUAUCCCAGUAAUUAAUCGCUUGACCAUUAAGGGAACCCAGCGCCUUUUUGAUGGAAAUACCGGAAUUGUGCUCUCAGCCUGUCCUCUUCUAGUGGAUGAAUCAUUUGGUUCUAGCAACUCAUCCACCCAGGGAAACCUGACAACUUCUUCCGGUGGUCUUAGCAGCAUGAUGGGAGGUGUUGUUGGAGGUGUAGUUGGAGUUGAUUCUGGAUGGAAGUUUUUCAAUGAAGGUUCUUCUCCAGUGGAGGAUGGUGUAGUGGUGAUGUUUAUUAUGCACCAACAUGCUCUUGUGGUUAGGCUCCGUACCAAUAUUGAUCAUGUUGACCAUAUUGAAACCUUCUCUAGACCAGAUGGAGCACGAGAGGGCUCUAUUGCAUAUGCUGCAUGGAAAUACACUACAUUCUCGAGUGAUUCACUGUCCAUAGAUGACGAACAAGUAUCAUGGCUUGCACUUGCAUGGGAUCGUCAAGUUCAAGUGGCAAAGUAUAUUAAAUCAAAGAUGAUUAAACAUAAAGAAUGGAAGAUUGACAGUGCAGCGAUUGGUGUUGCCUGGUUAGAUGAUCAGAUGUUGGUUGUCCUUAAUUUGAGAGGGCAGCUCUGUUUGUUUUCCAAAGAUGGCAAUGAACUUCGCAGGACUGUAUUUGUUCUUGAUGGUUUUGUCUUCGAUGACAGCAUACUAUACCAUACACAUUUCUCUAACAGGUUUGGUAACCCAGAGAGGCAUUUUAACAAUUCAGUAGCAGUAAGAGGUGCUACAGUGUAUAUUCUUGGGCCAAAUUUCCUCACAGUUUCCCGACUUCUUCCAUGGAAAGAGAGGAUUGAAGCACUAAAGAGAGCUGGCGAUUGGAUGGGUGCACUGGACAUGGCAAUGAAACUUUAUGAUGGCCAGACCCAGGGUGUCGUUGAUCUCCCGAGAACAGUUGAUUCUAUACGAGAAGCCAUAAUGCCAUAUUUAGUAGAGUUGCUGCUAUCAUAUAUACAUUAUGUAUUUGAAUACAUUUCAAUUGCUUUGUCAAGCCAUAGUGGAAAAGGGGGUGCAUCAGAUGGCCUGGUAGAUGCCGAUAGAUCCCUGCUGACACAGAGAGAGGAACAGUAUGCACGUGUAGGAGGGGUUGCAGUUGAGUAUUGUGUUCAUAUUGGACGAAAUGACAUCCUUUUUGACACAGUCUUUUCUAAGUUUGUUGCUGCAAAAAGUGGAGGUAUGUUUCUGGAGGUGCUAGAGCCCUAUAUAUUGAAGGAUAUGCUUGGCUCUUUGCCGCCUGAGAUUAUGCAAGCACUCGUAGAGCAUUAUAGUAGCAAAGGGUGGUUGCAACGAGUUGAACAAUGCAUUCUUCAUAUGGAUAUUUCUUCAUUGGAUUUUAAUCAGGUAGUCAGACUAUGUCGUGAACACGGAUUAUAUGGUGCAUUAAUUUAUUUGUUUAACCAAGGUCUUAAAGAUUUCCGCACGCCUCUAGAGGAGCUUUUAUCUGUCAUUCAGAACACUAGUAGAAAAGAAGGUGCUUCUACUUGCUACAGGAUGCUUGUUUACCUGAAGUAUUGCUUUCAGGGCCUAGCAUUUCCUCCAGGGCAUGGGAUGAUUCCCCAAUCCCGCCUUCAUGCAGUACGAGAAGAACUUUUGCAAUUUUUGCUUGAGGAGUCGAAGACUUUCAGUACUGAAGUAUACAAGGGCUUCCAAUCCUCAUGCGGAAAAUGCCCAAACAUAUGCUAUCUACUAUGGAUGGAUACUGAAGCUGCUUUGGAGGUUCUCAAAUGUGCCUUUGCACAUGAAAGAUUUGAAACUAGAGAUAACCCAUCUAGUACUCCUGAUGCACGUGUCUCAGAGGAUGGAAACAAUAGUAAUAUUGGAAGUCCUGAGAAUGAAAAUAUUAUGUUACAGAAUGUAGUGGACACCAUUGUGGAUAUUGUUGGUUUGGAAAAUGAGGCUAUUCACUCAGUUUCUGGAUCUGUUGAGUCAGAAAUUUGGCCUUCAGAAGACUUUGGUCAUCUUAUCGAGUUUGUGUCUUCUUUUGUUUCCCACAAAAGGGCAAAAGCAUCUCAAAGAGUUGUUAGGCACAUUCUCAGAUAUCUUACUUCAUCCACUAUCCUCUCAUCUGAUGACAAGAAAACAUCAACUCAUCAGAAAGAAAAGGAAGUUCUUCAGCUCUUCGAUGCAGUUCCUCAAAUUGAUUGGAAUUCCGAUUAUGUGUUGCAUAUUUGCUUAGACGCUCACUUUCACCAGGCCUGUGGAUUGAUAUAUAUGACCAGAAAGCAAAAUUUGGCUGCUUUAGAAAGUUACAUGAAGGAUACACUAGAACCAUUCCAUGCUUUUAUCUUCAUUAACAAAAAACUAUCCGAAUUGGCAGAUGACGAAGCUUCAUCAUUUCGUUCCUCAGUAAUAUCUCAUUUUCCUGAGCUUGUCAAGCUAAGCAGGGAGUGUGCAUUUGUCUUAGUCAAUGAUCACUUCCACGAUGAGAUCCAGCAAAUAUUGUCCAAGCUUCAUUCUGAUCACCACAGCCUCUUUCUUUUUUUGAAAACUGCAAUUGAAGUGCACUUGUCGGGAAAACUGAAUUUCAGUGAGCUUAGUACCAGAAACAAUAGCACGGUGGAACUUCAAUACUCAUCUCGUGAACUUGAAUUUUAUAUACAAAGACUUUUAAAUCUUCCCAAGUUGUUGGACCGCAAUCCUGUUAUUGUGACUGAUGAGUUGGUUGAACUCUAUCUGGAGCUCUUGUGUCAGUAUGAGCGAAGGUCAGUUUUGAAGUUUCUGGAGACAUUUGACAGUUACAAAUUGGAGCGGUGUUUGCAUCUUUGUUUAGAUUAUGGAGUUACAGAUGCUGCUGCAUUCUUGCAAGAGAGAGUUGGUGAUGUUGGGAGUGCACUGGUACUUAUUCUAGCAGGUCUUGAUGAGAAAAUCAGCCUAUUUAUAUCUUCAGUGGAAAAUGCUUUCUCUUGGAUUGCAUCAAAGAGUAUAUCUGAGAUAGAGCAACCAGACGUUGUUUUAAAACUGAGUGAGGCUCAUCCAGUGCUUGAUGCAUUACGUGCUGCCAUCGGAUUGUGUCAAAGGAAUUCACAACGCUUAAACCCAGAGGAGUCCCAGUCACUUUGGUUCCAACUGCUUGACUCCUUCUCAGAGCCCCUGAAAAAAUUGUACGGAAGCAAGGAUGUACAUGAAAAAGGUGUGAGGCCCAAUGGGAGUGAAACGUUGAAUAGACAGCCAAAGGACAAAGGAUUCUCACAAAAAACAAGGAUUUCGGUUUACCAAAGGUGCUUGAAUGCACUGCGGAGAGUAUUUUCACAGUUUGUUGGAGAAAUAAUUGAGGCAAUGGCUGGACAUAUACCCCUACCAGCAAUCAUGGGAAAGCUAUUAUCUGACAAUGGGAGUCAAGAGUUUGGUGAUUUUAAGCUUGUUAUACAUAGAAUGCUGUCCAUGUAUCUUUACGAAAAAAGAAUACUGGAAACUGCCAAGUCAGUAAUUGAGGAUGAUUCAUUCUAUACCUUGAGCUUACUAAAGAGAGGGGUUUGUCAUGGAUUUGCGCCGCAGACUUUUGUAUGUUGCAUAUGCAACUGCUCUCUUUCGAAAGAAAGUGCUAUUUCAGCGAUACGAGUAUUCAGUUGUGGACAUGCAACUCAUAUCCAAUGUGAGUCCGAACAAAGCAAGUCAUCGAACAGGGAUUCCAAAAAUGGAUGCCCAAUUUGUCUUUCAACUAGUAAUACACAAGCUUUGAACAAAUCACCUAUAUAUGAGAAUGGGCUAGGGAAACAUUUUGGGUCUGAAAGCGAGGUAUUGCAUGGCACCUAUCAUACCCAUGAAACAGACCAUGUCGAGAGAUCUCGUGGGCUUCAGCAGAUGUCACGGUAUGAAAUACUGAAUCAUCUUCAGAGGCCACAGAACUCUUUGCAUGUAGAAACUGUAUCUCCACUGAAACUUUCACCACCAGCAAUAUAUCAUGAAAAGAUACAGAAGAGAACAACCACGGUGGGAGAAUCCAGCAAGCAUCCAGUUAGAACUGAAAAACCCCAGAUAAUAUGGCAAAUGAAGAAUCCAAUAUCAAGAAAAUCAGGGAACCGACUUCUGCCAAAGUCAAGCAUAUUGAGUUCUCAGAAUAAUCAAUUACGAUAGUGUAAAUAUUACUAUAAAUUUGACAAUUUUUACAAUGGUAAGUGAUUCGAGCUGAUAACUGAUUUGCUUUACGCCAUCAUGGUUGUUGAAGCUUCAACUUAUCAUUGAUUUGCCAAAUGUGGUCGUGCUGCUCCUCGGUACUCGAUUCUCAUCGUGGUGAUACAUUAAAACUGUUUUGAGUAGGGCAAUUCUUCUCUCACGCUAGGGAGACGAAUUGCAAAUCCCAAGGCUAGGCGGGAGCAAAAAACCCUGAAAGGCUGUAACUUUAGAACACAAGAUGUGAUAGUAAAUUUUUGUGGGGGCAGUUCAUCGUAAUAGAAAUUUGUACAGAGACGAACACAUGAUGACGCCAUCCGCACUUCUUUUCCUUUUUGUAAACUGUGAGGUACACAGGAGCGCUGGCAUGUAUAGCAAAUGAGAUACUAAAAAUCAGUUAGUUACAUGAUUUUUGAUCAACCGGUGUUGCUGCAAAAUACAACCACCAUUUCAUACUAAAGUCAUUUUGGGUUUGUAAUAAGUUAAACUUCAAGUUGGAUCAUUCUUUAUAGUACAUUUAUUUUGUGU